GAUGAACGCUGGCGGCGUGCCUAAUACAUGCAAGUCGAGCGAACAGACGCGGAGCUUGCUGCUCUGACGUUAGCGGCGGACGGGUGAGUCACACGUGUAUAACCUACCUAUAUGACUGGUAUCACCUCGGGAAACCGGAGCUAAUACCGUAUAAUCUAUUGAACCGCAUGGUGCAAUAGUGAGAGACGGUUUUGCUGUCUCGUCUAGCUGGAUCUGCGCUGCAUUGGCUAGUUGGUAAGGUAACGGCUUACCACGGCGACGAGGCGUAGCCGACCUGAGAGGGUGAUCGGCCACCCUGGAGCUGAGACGCGGUCCAGACGCCUACGGGAGGCAGCAGUAGGGAAUCUGCCGCAAUGGGCGAGAGCCUGACGGAACAGCGCCGCGUGAGUGGUGAAGGUCUUCGGAUCGUAAAACUCUGUUUUUAGGGAAGAACCGAUGUGUAAGUAGCUAUGCACGUCUUGACGGUAACUAAUAAGAAAGCCACGGCUAACUACGUG
rnacentral:rRNA from 1 species